CUUCCUUGUCUGGGAGCCAGAGGAGGCAGUGGUCUUAAACACCAGCGAGGAGGGAUACAGUGGGGACCCUUGGGUUGUCCUCUCUCUGCACUCUGCUCUUGCACCUGGCUCUGACUGUGCCCUUCUCUGGCCCCACUUGUGGGCUGAGAUAUCAUGAGAUUCCAACAUCCUUUCCCACCCAGGCUCCUGCGCUGACAUUCCAUCUCUAACUUUUUGGUCAAUAUGAUUCUCUUUACUACAAGAACAAGUCAUUUAUUCAUUUGCUUAAACAGGAAAGUGAGAAUUUGGGAAUUUAGCUUCAAUAGAUUUUGCUGCUUUGCUGUUCAAUGUGAUUGUACCCAUUUUUACUUUCGCCAGCUGGUUGUGAAUGUACGAGGUCCAUAUUCCCCAUGUCAUCAAACAUGAACAGUUUGCCAGGGAGAGUGGGUCUGUGAAAUUUUCAGAAGCUCAAUAUGUCUGACUUGCAAAUUAGCAGAGCUGAAAGGUGGAGAGGCUACCUUACUCUAUCAUCUUGGAGAGACACUUGAUUGCAGAAGAAAAUAAAGGCAUUUAAACGGCACUUACAGAAUGUUUUCUACCCUGGACUUUGUUUCCUCAUUCAUUCAUCC
rnacentral:lncRNA from 10 species